rnacentral:rRNA from 1 species
CCUACGGGUGGCAGCAGUGAGGAAUAUUGGUCAAUGGGCGGAAGCCUGAACCAGCCAAGUAGCGUGAAGGAAGAAGGCGCCACGCGUCGUAAACUGCUUUUAUCCGGGAAUAAAGCGCGCCACGCGUAGCGUUUUGAAUGUACCCGAAGAAUAAGCAUCGGCUAACUCCGUGCCAGCAGCCGCGGUAAUACGGAGGGUCCGAGCGUUAUCCGGAUUUAUUGGGGUUAAAGGGGGCGUAGGCCGGUCGUCAAGGGUGCGGGGAAAUGCCCGGGCUCAACCCGGGCCUAGCAGCGAGAACUGGCGGGCUAGAGGCCGCGGAAAGCAGGCGGAAUUCGUGGUGUAGCGGUGAAAUGCAUAGAUAUGGCGAAGAACCCCGAUUGCGAAGGCAGCGUGCUGCAGCGGAACUGACGCUGAGGCUCGAAAGCGCGGGUAUCGAACAGGAUUAGAUACCCUUGUAGUC